CCUAACUAAUUAAACCUAAAACUACCAUUUCUUCUCCACGAUUUAUUAAAAAUUGAGAUUCAUAUUAAACGUGAUCAGAUCUGGGAAGAGUCUCCGGUGGUGAUGAGUUCUCCGACCAGAUUCGACGACUUUGGCCAGAUCCGACGACACUGACGAGUUCUCCGGCCAGAUCCGACGACGCUGAAGAGUUCCUGGCGAGAUUUGACGAACGCUGACAAGUUUCCGGCGAGAUCUGACGAUGCUGACGAGUUUUCCGGCGAGAUCUGACGUGGCUAACGAGUUCUCCAGCGAAACUGACAGACUCUACAAGCUCAGACGAACAAGACGAUCUCUCUCCCGACGCAUAAGAAACACUAACAAAGGGAAUUACAAAGGUGUGAUGUGAGCUUUUGGAUUUAAAGGAUACUGUGGAGAAUAUGUGUGGUGAUAUGCAUAUCAAGUACCUCACUUUCUUGAGAUUUUGAAGAACGAUAAGGUUGGUGACCUGUUUGAAGAAGCAAAAGAGACUCUCAACAAGAACGUAGUUUAUGUGAUUAAAGAAUGACUAUUUAUAACUCUUUAUAAAAGUUGC